UACGAAGGGGGCUAGCGUUGCUCGGAAUCACUGGGCGUAAAGCGCACGUAGGCGGAUUCCUAAGUCGGGGGUGAAAUCCUGGAGCUCAACUCCAGAACUGCCUUCGAUACUGGGAAUCUUGAGUCCGGGAGAGGUGAGUGGAACUGCGAGUGUAGAGGUGAAAUUCGUAGAUAUUCGCAAGAACACCAGUGGCGAAGGCGCUCACUGGCCCGGUACUGACGCUGAGGUGCGAAAGCGUGGGGAGCA
rnacentral:rRNA from 1 species